rnacentral:rRNA from 1 species
CUACGGGGUGCUCCAGUGGGGAAUAUUGGACAAUGGGGGAAACCCUGAUCCAGCAAUGCCGCGUGUGUGAAGAAGGCCUGCGGGUUGUAAAGCACUUUCGGUUGGGAGGACUGCUUCUAGCACUAAUAUUGUUGGAAGUUGACGUUACCUUCAGAAGAAGCACCGGCUAACUCCGUGCCAGCAGCCGCGGUAAUACGGAGGGUGCAAGCGUUAAUCGGAAUUACUGGGCGUAAAGCGCGCGUAGGCGGCUAGAUCAGUCGGGUGUGAAAGCCCCGGGCUUAACCUGGGAACUGCAUCCGAUACUGUCUAGCUUGAGUACAGGAGAGGAGAGUGGAAUUCCACAUGUAGCGGUGAAAUGCGUAGAUAUGUGGAGGAACACCAAUGGCGAAGGCAGCUCUCUGGCCUGAUACUGAUGCUGAGGUGCGAAAGCGUGGGGAGCAACAGGAUUAGAUACCCUCGUAGUC